GAUGAACGCUGGCGGCGUGCCUAAUACAUGCCAGUCGAGCGAACAGACGAGGAGCUUGCUCCUCUGACGUUAGCGGCGGACGGGUGAGUAACACGUGGAUAACCUACCUAUAAGACUGGGAUAACUUCGGGAAACCGGAGCUAAUACCGGAUAAUAUAUUGAACCGCAUGGUUCAAUAGUGAAAGACGGUUUUGCUGUCACUUAUAGAUGGAUCCGCGCCGCAUUAGCUAGUUGGUAAGGUAACGGCUUACCAAGGCAACGAUGCGUAGCCGACCUGAGAGGGUGAUCGGCCAAACUGGAACUGAGACACGGUCCAGACUCCUACGGGAGGCAGCAGUAGGGAAUCUUCCGCAAUGGGCGAAAGCCUGACGGAGCAACGCCGCGUGAGUGAUGAAGGUCUUCGGAUCGUAAAACUCUGUUAUUAGGGAAGAACAAAUGUGUAAGUAACUAUGCACGUCUUGACGGUACCUAAUCAGAAAGCCACGGCUAACUACGUG
rnacentral:rRNA from 1 species